CCUUUUCCACGCAUGUAAAUAUGGUUCUUUUCUUCUGUUUUUGGUGUUCCUGAUACGUUUUUACUCCCGGUAUCCGUCUCCUCCUCUGCGUUUAUCUAAUUCCAGGAUUCCUCUUUGUAGUACGGGAUGGUCCCUCUCCUGGCUGUACCUCUCCUGCCUCCCUAUGGUCCCUCUCCUCUACUAGAUCUGCACCCUCUGUUUUUAUGCCUGGACCUCCUCCUUUCCUGGAUGUGGCUGGUCCCUUUGCUCUCCUGCUUCCGGCUAGUUCCUCUCUUCUCCUGGCCGGACACCGUCCUGUCUUUAGCUUGGCCCUUUCUCCCCUAGCUCUGGCUAGACCCCAAUCUCUCCUGGCUCGGACUGGGCCUUCUCCUGGCACUGAUCACACACUUUUCUGGAUGUAGCUUUAUCCUCUACCAUGUACUGGCCAGAUUCUGUUUUCUUGCUGCAAGCUGGACCCUCUCCUGGCACCGACUGGCCCUUCUUUGUCUCCUAAUACUUUCCCAUAACUCUCCUUCUGUGUAAGAUGCUCUCUCUUUCCCUCAGGAUUUAAAACCAACACAGACUGAGAAGGGGGGCUCUGUGUCAGUGUGUAUGUGCAGAGUGCCACAUAUACAAUUAUAGUGAAAAGGACAAACACCUAAUCAAAUACACACAUCAGGCAACAGAGGGCUGCCACAGCAGAAGGAAUGUGUCCACAUCUGUCUUCCAGAUUCCAGCUAUCAGAGAGUCUAACCCAAAGUUGUUAUUUAUGGGCCAGAUGUUAUUAACUAAGUCAGGUGGGGGUAGAACAGGGUUAAUUAGUAGCAGAAAUAAGCUUCUUUCUACCAACUCCCAUCACUCCCUCCCAGUGGAUCACCAGGAACGUGACGACCUUUAUAGCGACG